GAGACACAUCAGUGAUUCCACUGAACUGGAAGUUAAGGCUGCCACCUGGCCACUUUGGGCUCCUCAUGCAUCUGAAUCAACAGGCAAAGAAGAAUUGAGGUCUUUGCAGUCUACAUCCCAAGACUGACUUCCAGUGUUUCUUCUCGGAAGAAAUGCUUUAUUCACAAAAGCCAAGA